GUCACACCAUGAGAGUUGGGAAUACCCGAAGCCUGUGAGCUAACUUUUAGAGGCAGCAGUCGAAGGUAGAAUCAAUGAUUGGGGUGAAGUCGUAACAAGGUAUC
rnacentral:rRNA from 1 species